rnacentral:siRNA from 1 species
AAGUGAUUGUUGGAACCAUGUA